rnacentral:rRNA from 1 species
GACGAACGCUGGCGGCGUGCUUAACACAUGCAAGUCGAACGGAAAGGCCCUGCUUUUGUGGGGUGCUCGAGUGGCGAACGGGUGAGUAACACGUGAGUAACCUGCCCUUGACUUUGGGAUAACUUCAGGAAACUGGGGCUAAUACCGGAUAGGAGCUCCUGCUGCAUGGUGGGGGUUGGAAAGUUUCGGCGGUUGGGGAUGGACUCGCGGCUUAUCAGCUUGUUGGUGGGGUAGUGGCUUACCAAGGCUUUGACGGGUAGCCGGCCUGAGAGGGUGACCGGGCACAUUGGGACUAAGAUACGGCCCAGACUCCUACGGGAGGCAACAGGGGAGAGUAUUGCACAGUGGGCGGAAGCCUGAUGCAGCAGCGCCGCGUGCGGGAUGACGGCCUUCGGGUUAUAAACCGCUUUCGCCUGUGACGAAGCGUGAGUGACGGUAAUGGGUAAAGAAGCACCGGCUAACUACGUG